rnacentral:rRNA from 1 species
AGAGUUUGAUCCUGGCUCAGGACGAACGCUGGCGGCGCGCCUAACACAUGCAAGUCGAACGAGCGAGAGAGAGCUUGCUUUCUCGAGCGAGUGGCGAACGGGUGAGUAACGCGUGAGGAACCUGCCUCAAAGAGGGGGACAACAGUUGGAAACGACUGCUAAUACCGCAUAAGCCCACGGCUCGGCAUCGAGCAGAGGGAAAAGGAGCAAUCCGCUUUGAGAUGGCCUCGCGUCCGAUUAGCUAGUUGGUGAGGUAACGGCCCACCAAGGCGACGAUCGGUAGCCGGACUGAGAGGUUGAACGGCCACAUUGGGACUGAGACACGGCCCAGACUCCUACGGGAGGCAGCAGUGGGGAAUAUUGCACAAUGGGGGAAACCCUGAUGCAGCGACGCCGCGUGGAGGAAGAAGGUCUUCGGAUUGUAAACUCCUGUUGUUGAGGAAGAUAAUGACGGUACUCAACAAGGAAGUGACGGCUAACUACGUGCCAGCAGCCGCGGUAAAACGUAGGUCACAAGCGUUGUCCGGAAUUACUGGGUGUAAAGGGAGCGCAGGCGGGAAGACAAGUUGGAAGUGAAAUCUAUGGGCUCAACCCAUAAACUGCUUUCAAAACUGUUUUUCUUGAGUAGUGCAGAGGUAGGCGGAAUUCCCGGUGUAGCGGUGGAAUGCGUAGAUAUCGGGAGGAACACCAGUGGCGAAGGCGGCCUACUGGGCACCAACUGACGCUGAGGCUCGAAAGUGUGGGUAGCAAACAGGAUUAGAUACCCUGGUAGUCCACACCGUAAACGAUGAUUACUAGGUGUUGGAGGAUUGACCCCUUCAGUGCCGCAGUUAACACAAUAAGUAAUCCACCUGGGGAGUACGACCGCAAGGUUGAAACUCAA